ACUCAAAGGAAUAGACGGGGGCCCGCACAAGCAGCGGAGCGUGUGGUUUAAUUCGAGGCUACACGAAGAACCUUACCCGGGUUUGACAUGGGGGUGGUAAGAGCCGGAAACGGUGAUGACCCUUCGGGGAGCCUUCACAGGUGCUGCAUGGUUGUCGUCAGCUCGUGCCGUGAGGUGUUCGGUUAAGUCCGAAAACGAGCGCAACCCUCGGCAGUAGUUACAAGUGUCUACUGCAACUGCCCGUGAGAAACGGGAGGAAGGUGGGGAUGACGUCAAAUCAGCAUGGCCUUUAUAUCCGGGGCUACACACACGCUACAAUGGACGGUACAAUGGGGAGCGAGAGGGCGACCUGGAGCAAAUCCUGAAAGCCGUUCGUAGUUCGGAUUGCAGGCUGCAACUCGCCUGCAUGAAGUUGGAGUUGCUAGUAACCGCGCGUCAGCUAUAGCGCGGUGAAUACGUUCCCGGGCCUUGUACACACCGCCCGU
rnacentral:rRNA from 1 species